UACGUAGGGACCAAGCGUUGUCCGGAAUCAUUGGGCGUAAAGAGCGUGUAGGCGGAUCGUUAAGUCGGGGGUGAAAUCCUGGAGCUCAACUCCAGAACUGCCUUCGAUACUGGCGAUCUUGAGUCCGGAAGAGGUGAGUGGAACUCCUAGUGUAGAGGUGGAAUUCGUAGAUAUUAGGAAGAACACCAGUGGCGAAGGCGGCUCACUGGUCCGGUACUGACGCUGAGGUGCGAAAGCGUGGGGAGCAAACAGG
rnacentral:rRNA from 1 species